UACACUCCUGCGGGAGGCAGCAGUGAGGAAUAUUGGACAAUGGGUGGAAGCCUGAUCCAGCCAUCCCGCGUGCAGGAAGACGGCCCUAUGGGUUGUAAACUGCUUUUAUCUGGGGAUAAACCUACUUACGUGUAAGUAGCUGAAGGUACCAGAAGAAUAAGCACCGGCUAACUCCGUGCCAGCAGCCGCGGUAAUACGGAGGGUGCAAGCGUUAUCCGGAUUUAUUGGGUUUAAAGGGUCCGUAGGCGGACUGAUAAGUCAGUGGUGAAAUCCGACAGCUUAACUGUCGAACUGCCAUUGAUACUGUUAGUCUUGAGUAAGGUUGAAGUGGCUGGAAUAAGUAGUGUAGCGGUGAAAUGCAUAGAUAUUACUUAGAACACCAAUUGCGAAGGCAGGUCACUAAGUCUUAACUGACGCUGAUGGACGAAAGCGUGGGGAGCGAACAGGAUUAGAAACCCGGGUAGUCCCAUG
rnacentral:rRNA from 1 species